rnacentral:lncRNA from 10 species
GCAUCAGGAAGUUUAGAAGUUUCCUCAAUGGCCUUGUCCAUGCCUUGGCUGGAGAACACAUUUCAUCACUGCAAUUGUGCAUUUCCACACCUUUUAUCCAGGAUUAUUUGAAUUUGCUGCAUAGAUUUUAAAAUUCUUCUAGAAUACAACUGAAGGUAAGAAACAUGGCAAGUGAAAUCACUGUGAAUGACAUCUAGUAAACAUGGAUACCUGAGUAUAUUAAACACAACUCACCACUGAUUUUCACAGGUACGUUUUUUAUUACAAAGGCAUUUAUAUGUAUAGACUGAGGAAUAUUUCACAUAUUUAGAAAGGCUUACCCAUGUUUUUCUCUUUUCCCAUCAUACUGUAGGAGAAAAUGCAAACAAAGGAAAGUAGAAUUUGUUUAACUCUGAAAAGAAAAAUUGGGAGACCAUUUACUGGAUGUUAAUAAAUAGUCUGUGUCUGUAAGAUGAUACAAGAAUAAAAUGAUAUUACUUUUUCAUUCCUAGAAUGAUAAAUUACAGCACAAAUUUUAUUCUCCUUGGCCAUACAGGAAAAACCUAAAGUUUUAUGCAAAAUGUUUUCAAAGUUUGAUAAAACUGCUAACAGAAACUUAGGUAAAUGCCGAAUUUUCUAUAUGAGUAGCGAGCCAGACAAGAUCAGUUUCUUUUUUAUUCAGAGACAAUAGUAUAGGUUACAGACAUGUCUAAAUUUCAGUAAGUCAUAUGAUUUGUUGAUAUAGGGAAACCUAUACUUAAUAUUUAAGAUUGGGUAUCAUUCAUUCAUUUUAUAAUCUAUUUCCGUCUUAAGAAAUUUCCUCCUUCUGCCAUAAUGAAGAAUAAAGCUGUUUCUUGCAGGCAAAUUACCAGUCUGCCUGGUCUUGCCCUGUUGCACAACAUUUGGUAUAAAAAUAAACAGCUUUUGAAAGAAAACAAGAACACUGAAGAGACUGAACUAUAGUUUAGUUGGUAAUGACAACGUCAAAGUCACCAUCUUCAUUGCUUGCUAAAAAUAAG